GYUACUKCWWCSCCGUMGGAUAGGCGCGGCCUUCGGGACAGAGGAGACAGGUGGUGCAUGGUUGUCGUCAGCUCGUGUCGUGAGAUGUUGGGUUAAGUCCCGCAACGAGCGCAACCCUUGACUUUAGUUGCCAGCAGGUMAAGCUGGGCACUCUAGAGUGACUGCCGGUGACAAACCGGAGGAAGGUGGGGAUGACGUCAAAUCAUCAUGCCCCUUAUGACCUGGGCUACACACGUACUACAAUGGCCGGUACAACGGGAAGCGAAGCCGCGAGGCGGAGCCAAUCUUAUAAAGCCGGUCUCAGUUCGGAUUGCAGGCUGCAACUCGCCUGCAUGAAGUCGGAAUUGCUAGUAAUCGCGGAUCAGCAUGCCGCGGUGAAUACGUUCCCGGGUCUUGUACACACCGA
rnacentral:rRNA from 1 species